AGCAUUGGUGAGGAGUAUCAAUAUCCCAAAUUGGUGUUCGCAUCUCACGAGCCUCAUACGAUAAUUAUUCUGGAGGAUGUGAGCUCACAGGGAUGGACAAUGGAAGGGUUGAUAAAAAGUUUUUCCGAAUUGGAGCCAACCAUAGAUGCAAUUGCCAAGUUCCAUGCAGCCUCUGUCGUACUACAAGAGAAGGAUCCUACCUUUGCGUCCCAGUAUCAGUGCACCAUUGCGAAAAUAUUAUGCUCGAUGCGAGGUAUGACGGACGGCUGCUUUCGUUCAUUUAUCUCCUUUCUUAGUGAGACGGUGGAGCUUCAAGAGUUUGUCGCCCGGUAGAACAUUUUCACGCCAAGAUCGAUGACAUUUUGCAAGCGGCAUAUGCACCUAGUGAAACGUUUGCCAAUGUGUUGAUACACGGUGAUUUUCAUUUUAAAAAUUUGCUUCACCUACAGUCCGGUGGCAAAAUCGUCGAUACAAUUUUUGUGGACUAUCAGAUGUGCAGCUGGUGCUCGCCGGUGGUCGAUUUGUACUACCUUACCUACAUGAUACCGGAGCAAUCGGUAAAAAACGCUCAUCGUGAUGAGAUCAUUUAUCGUUACUAUGAAAAGUUUGCCAGUCUGCUUCGACGGUUGAACUAUCGUGGUCGUGUUCCGUCAUUAUCUGAGUUGCAGGUUGAGCUGCUAAGGAAAACAGAAUUGGAACUCUACCAUUAUAU